rnacentral:tRNA from 1 species
UCACUGGUGGUCUAGUGGUUAGGAUUUGGUACUCUCACUGCAAUGGCCGGGGUUCGAUUCCUGGUUAGGGAA